UCUUUAAUGGCCCAAACCAGGUAACUAUGAAAAUAAUGGGAUGAGGAAGAUGCUACCGCUUUUCUUGGUAAUGUGAAUCAUCUUUAUCCUGAUUUUAAGGUAGCUAAGGCACUUGGUGACUGAACUAAUCAUCUGUACAUGAAAAAAAUCUUAUGUGAGCUCCAACAAAUGUACAAAACUAGCAAGUUUGAGAGGGUAUUCUCAGCUCUUGCAGAUUUCUUUAUAGAACAGCUUCCCAAACUUUGUAUUCCUUUCCCUUUACUAGAAGAAAGAUGUACAUUAUCUGAUAAAUACAUUAUCUAAUCAACUUCUGGAACUGAUUCUUAGUGCCUACGUGAAAAGCAUGGAAGACCAUGGUUAUAUAAUUCAUUUUGGGCUGCCUUCCUUCUCAAGAUUUAUGCCAAAAGAGUC